AGCAGGGUAGAGCAGCAGUAGCUCGUCUGGCUCAUAACCAGAAGGUCGCCGGUGCGAUCCCGGCCCCUGCUCCCA
rnacentral:tRNA from 1 species